rnacentral:rRNA from 1 species
UACGUAGGGUGCAAGCGUUGUCCGGAAUUAUUGGGCGUAAAGAGCUCGUAGGCGGUUUGUCGCGUCGACUGUGAAAACCUACAGCUUAACUGUGGGCUUGCAGUCGAUACGGGCAGACUUGAGUUCGGUAGGGGAGACUGGAAUUCCUGGUGUAGCGGUGAAAUGCGCAGAUAUCAGGAGGAACACCGGUGGCGAAGGCGGGUCUCUGGGCCGAUACUGACGCUGAGGAGCGAAAGCGUGGGUAGCAAACAGG